GCUAGUGACUAUGGCAGAGACUUAUUAGAAUGUGCCAGAAUGUAACUCGUGGGCACUGGCUAGCUAAUGCUGGAAGUGGGCCAAACACAGCAGGUCGCCCAUGGCUGCUCCAAGUCACAGCGCUGCCUUUAAGUAGGAAAAGCAAGAACGAUCUCUCUCUCCCCCCAGGAAAUACUCCUCUGGGACUACGUCUACACUUGGAGAUAGGGGUGCGAUUCCCAGCUCAUGCAGACAUGUUCCUGCUAGCUCCCAUGAGCUAGCAUGCUAAAAAUAGAAGCGUAACCACGGCAGUGAGUAGUGGCAUGGACUAGCCAUAAACCUGCCCGACCCCCAUGGGUACGUUCUUGGGUAGGCUAGCUAGCCUAUAGGUCAUUCUCUGCUGCCUGUUCUACCCCAGCUACGCUGUCUGUAACACACUAGCUUGAUGAGAGCUAGUGCAAGUGUGGCUUUGUGAGCUGGGAAUCACAUCCCUCGCUCCAAGUGAGAUUCACCCAGCUGACCACUGGAUGUCAUUAUUGCUCCAGAUGAGCAGAUCGCGAGAGUGUAUUGAACAAUAAAGCAAAGCUUCUAGAUGAAAGCGGGCAGAGACAUUCGGGUUUGUACACAGCUUGGCCUCUCAUGUUACAUUUUUCAUGUAUUGCGUUAGGGCUCAUAAAAAAUAAGGAACUUGCAGCCCUGGCAA